rnacentral:rRNA from 1 species
UACGUAGGGCGCAAGCGUUGUCCGGAAUUAUUGGGCGUAAAGAGCUCGUAGGCGGCCAGUUGCGUCCGCUGUGAAAUCCUGGGGCUUAACCCCGGGCGUGCAGUGGAUACGGGCUGGCUAGAGGCAGGCAGGGGAGAACGGAAUUCCCGGUGUAGCGGUGAAAUGCGCAGAUAUCAGGAGGAACACCGGUGGCGAAGGCGGGUCUCUGGGCCGAUACUGACGCUGAGGAGCGAAAGCAUGGGUAGCGAACAGG